rnacentral:rRNA from 1 species
AUACGUAGGGUGCAAGCGUUAAUCGGAAUUACUGGGCGUAAAGCGUGCGCAGGCGGUUUUGUAAGACAGAGGUGAAAUCCCCGGGCUCAAACUGGGAACUGCCUUUGUGACUGCAAGGCCAGAGGACGGCAGAGGGGGAUGGAAUUCCGCGUGUAGCAGGGAAAUGCGUAGAUAUGCGGAGGAACACCGAUGGCGAAGGCAAUCCCCUGGGCCUGUACUGACGCUCAUGCACGAAAGCGUGGGGAGCAAACAGGAUUAGAUACCCUGGUAGUCCACGCCCUAAACGAUGUCAACUGGUUGUUGGGUCUUCAUUGACUCAGUAACGAAGCUAACGCGUGAAGUUGACCGCCUGGGGAGUACUGCCGCAAGGUUGAAACUCAAAUGAAUUGACGGGG